GUGUCAGCAGCCGCGGUAAGACGGGGGGUCCUAGCGUUGUUCGGAAUCAUUGGGCGUAAAGCGUGUGCAGGCGGUUUGGAAAGUUGGAUGUGAAAGCCCCGGGCUUAACUCGGGAAGUGCAUUCAAAACUCCCAAACUUGAGUAAGGAAGAGGGUCGUGGAAUUCCUGGUGUAGUGGUGAAAUACGUAGAUAUCAGGAGGAACACCGGUGGCGAAGGCGGCGACCUGGUCCUAUACUGACGCUCAUACACGAAAGCGUGGGGAUCAAACAGGAUUAGAUACCCUGGUAGUCCACGCCGUAAACGAUGGAUACUUGGUGUUGAAGGUAUUGACCCCUUCAGUGCCGGAGCUAACGCGUUAAGUAUCCCGCCUGGGGAGUACGGUCGCAAGAUUAAA
rnacentral:rRNA from 1 species